UCUUACUAUUCGGUGCCAUUUGAGUCCUAAUGACAUAAUAUGGUAUAUUUAGUGUAAAACUUGUCUAAUGCUUAUUUCUAAACCAUUUUCUUGUAUGUUUAACCCCCCUCUACCAUAGAACACAUUGAUAUAUACACAGGAUAAAUACAUUAAAAGUAAAUUACUUUUAUUUUAGCACAAGUCACUAAAGUACUAUGUCCCCAGUCAUGCUUGCUCGACUUCAGUUACAAAUAUAACUUAAAAAAAAAAAAAAAAAUCUAGAUUUUUCAUCAUUUCUGGAUUGGCUUAUUUCUAAUGUUCCUCAUCAAAUGUUCUUUUUUAUUAUUAAUGCAUGUUUAAUACUUAAAAUCUUUAAAAAAUGUUGUGUCCCUGAAUCAACUGUCACCCCUGUUACUCUGAUAAGAAUUCCAUAGAACACAUCACCUGAUUAUUCUUUUAGUCACAUGACACUCCCGGAUGUAACAUAUUUUGGAGGGAAAACUUUCAAGAAGAAGACGAGGAAUGGCACCAAUGUCUGCUGCGGAGAAGCAGCGGCGCUACCGAGCACGUCGUGAUGCUGACCCUGAGAGAAGACAGAUAUAUCUCAAUAAAGAGAAAGAGAAGUGGAGAAAGGACAGAGAGGAAGGGAAAAAAAAGAAAGUGGCAGAUCUCAGUGAACGACAGAAGAGAGCACAGAGAAAGCAGUGGCGAGAAAGGAAAAGAAAGCAGAGGGCUAGUGCCAAAGGCAGGACAGAAUUUGAGGCUAUGAAUACUCCUCCCCUAAGUCCAGAAUAUUCCCUAGAGCCAGAAAAUGCCCCGCAACCAGGACCCUCAA